GGUGCUAAUACAUGCAGUCGAGCGGACAGAUGGGAGCUUGCUCCCUGAUGUUAGCGGCGGACGGGUGAGUAACACGUGGGUAACCUGCCUGUAAGACUGGGAUAACUCCGGGAAACCGGGGCUAAUACCGGAUGGUUGUUUGAACCGCAUGGUUCAAACAUAAAAGGUGGCUUCGGCUACCACUUACAGAUGGACCCGCGGCGCAUUAGCUAGUUGGUGAGGUAACGGCUCACCAAGGCAACGAUGCGUAGCCGACCUGAGAGGGUGAUCGGCCACACUGGGACUGAGACACGGCCCAGACUCCUACGGGAGGCAGCAGUAGGGAAUCUUCCGCAAUGGACGAAAGUCUGACGGAGCAACGCCGCGUGAGUGAUGAAGGUUUUCGGAUCGUAAAGCUCUGUUGUUAGGGAAGAACAAGUACCGUUCGAAUAGGGCGGUACCUUGACGGUACCUAACCAGAAAGCCACGGCUAACUACGUGCCAGCAGCCGCGGUAAUACGUAGGUGGCAAGCGUUGUCCGGAAUUAUUGGGCGUAAAGGGCUCGCAGGCGGUUUCUUAAGUCUGAUGUGAAAGCCCCCGGCUCAACCGGGGAGGGUCAUUGGAAACUGGGGAACUUGAGUGCAGAAGAGGAGAGUGGAAUUCCACGUGUAGCGGUGAAAUGCGUAGAGAUGUGGAGGAACACCAGUGGCGAAGGCGACUCUCUGGUCUGUAACUGACGCUGAG
rnacentral:rRNA from 1 species